GGGGAUUUAGCUCAGCGGCGUAAGCACCUGCCUUGCAAGCAGGCGGUCGUGACUUCGGUCCCCG
rnacentral:tRNA from 1 species